rnacentral:rRNA from 1 species
UACAGAGGUCUCAAGCGUUGUUCGGAAUCACUGGGCGUAAAGGGUGCGUAGGCGGGCGCAGCAAGUCAGAUGUGAAAUCCGGAGGCUCAACCUCCGAAAUGCAUCCGAAACUGCUGUGCUCGAGAUCUGUAGAGGGACUUGGAAUUCUCGGUGUAGCAGUGAAAUGCGUAGAUAUCGAGAAGAACGCUCGUGGCGAAGGCGAAGUCCUGGGCAGAUUCUGACGCUGAGGCACGAAGGCCAGGGGAGCAAACGGGG